rnacentral:guide_RNA from 1 species
GAUGUAUAUGUAUAAAAUACUGAAUGUGAGUUUGUGUUGUAUAGAUUGUAUGAAG